AACGAACGCUGGCGGCAUGCCUAACACAUGCAAGUCGAACGAGACCUUCGGGUCUAGUGGCGCACGGGUGCGUAACGCGUGGGAACCUGCCCUUAGGUUCGGAAUAACUCCCCGAAAGGGGUGCUAAUACCGGAUAAUGUCUUCGGACCAAAGAUUUAUCGCCUUUGGAUGGGCCCGCGUUGGAUUAGCUAGUUGGUAGGGUAAAAGCCUACCAAGGCGACGAUCCAUAGCUGGUCUGAGAGGAUGAUCAGCCACACUGGGACUGAGACACGGCCCAGACAAAGAGGGGGGGAAGAGGGGGGGAAUAGGGAAAAGGGGGGAAAGGAUUGAACGAGAAAGGCGGGGGGAGUAAGAAGGGAGUGGGGGUUGAAAAGCUUUUUUCCCGGGAAGAAAAAGGAAAGAACGGGGAAAAUAGGCCCCGGAAAACUCCGUG
rnacentral:rRNA from 1 species